CGGAGGUGAUGUCAAACCUGCUACCCUGACCCACCGUGGAGGGCAAAGACUGAUUUAAUGAGGCUGAUCC